GCGAGGAGGAGGAGGCUGCGCGUCGCAGUGGGGAAAAACGCAGAGGAGCCGAGAGUCCUGCAUCCUUGGCCUGGACCUGCUGUCCCGCCGGAGGGGGGGCCCCGCGUGGAUGUGUCGGGGGCAACAUUCUACCUCGGCGCUGAAGGUGUGGCUCUCCGGCAGGGCAGCUCCAGGAAGCGGUCCCAGCAGCAACAGCAACCUCCGCCGGUCUCACAGCGGCCCGCGGCAGUGCAGCACACCCGGCAGCGGCCCAACGCAAUAGCGACAGUGACGGUCAGCAACGACCUCCCCACCAUGGACCCGCAGCUGCGCAGCGAACUGGCCCGGCUGAGGGAAUGGCUGACUGUGGGACGACGGCCGGAGUGGGCAGAAGUCUCCGCCCUGGACCCAGAGACCAAGCCCCUGUACUCUCUGGAGGUUCACGACGGGUUGCCGUUCAGGCGGUGGUGACAGACUCUUGCAGCUGGUGGUCCCCCGGGGCUCUGUGCCAUGGUGCUGCGGUCAGUGCACGGGCUGCUGGGGGCCGGACAUCUGUUGGGCAGGCAGCGUGGACGUUUCUGCUGGCCUGGGUACAGGCAGGAUGUGGAGCUGUUUGUGCACGGCUGCAACGUCUGCAAGUCCCAGAAGGGACUGGGCCACCAGUCUAGGGUGCCAAAGCAGUGGUACAUGGUAGGGGCCCCACAGCAUCUCUGCAGUGUCCCCGUUAAAGUGGUGUCCUCGGUCUUCAUGUACUGACAUCAGCAACAAUGGAUCGUGUCUCCGUAUCUCCCGAUGGUAUUCCUGUAAAUGAGGCAAGAGAAUGAGGGCCUAUGCUGUAUAAAUGCGAACACUCCAGUGAUAGAAAUACCAAUGACUGUGCCCUGAGGAUGUCACCUCGACUGCCGAUGAGACGUCUGCAAAUUAAUUGCUUUGCUUGGCGAACACCACAACAUCAAACACCUCAACCUGAGCUAUCAAUACUCACCAGCAUCCUAAACCAAGAAGUAUUGUCCUCAGGAAAUAUGGCCAAAGCCCAUAGCCUGUGCCUUGGCUUCGAUGGAUUGAUUGACUGUGAGUCUGGCUACUGGUCUGGUUGACUUGAUGUCACCUUGGACUUUGAAAACUGGCCGCCCUUCACAUUAGCUGAGAUCCCGAUGGUGACUUCAGAUGAGCCUGACCCCAACGAGAUAAAGAGAGAAGAUGCUGGAGAGGACCAGUGGUAGGAUUUGAUCUGAUGUGGUUCUACUCCUGUUGGAGCCUGUUAUCUACAUUCUGACAGUCUGUUCUCGGGUCGAUUGGGUGAUCUGGUGCUUUGCUGUCUCCAAGAGGAUACCAUGAGGCUACGGGCAAAGCGGGCAGAAUGGAGGGCAGGAAAUCUGGAUACAGGGCAUGGGCCUACACUCGACUCCUUCUCACUGAUCCUUUUUUGUUGCUAUUUGCGUGAUUUGCUUUUUUAUUCUUUGAAUUGGUUCCCUGGUUUGUCUUUGCCUCAUGGCUGUCUGUGGGGUAUAUAAAACUCAGAGUUGUAUAUUGCAUAUAUACUUUGCUAAUCAAUGUACUUUGAAUAAAAUGCUGGAUCUUCUCAUUGAAAUCCUGCUCCUGGUCUGACCAAGUCACAAGAUGCAAGUGGUAAUUCCCCGUGGUAAUAUUGGUCUCUAUAGAAACCCCAUUGGGAAUGCAAUGAUGGAGUAAAAUGACCAGCAAGUCCCAGAUUUUUGCUUUUCACAGGGGUUCUAAAAAUAUAACAUGAUUUGGCCUUUGAUUUUUCAUGAUUUUGUGAAAGAUUUUAGCUAUUAAAACCUAUCCUACUCUCAAUUUCAAUGUUCAGCAGACUGAAGAAAAGAUAGAUACAUUUUCUAAUUCUUGCUUGCAAGAGUGUUGAGAAAAACUUCCGAGAAAAUGCUCAAAGGAAAAAGAAAUCUAAAGCUGUAGCUGCAAUGCUACUUGAAGAUGCCUGAAUUAAUGCUGCAGAUCAAUAAUAAUGGCAGUAAACAUUGUAAAAUACUGGUGGAAAGAUCAUGA